GACGAACGCUGGCGGCGUGCUUAACACAUGCAAGUCGAACGGAAAGGCCCUGCUUUUGUGGGUUGCUCGAGUGGCGAACGGGUGAGUAACACGUGAGUAACCUGCCCUUGACUUUGGGAUAACUUCAGGAAACUGGGGCUAAUACCGGAUAUGAGCUCCUGCUGCAUGGUGGUGGUUGGAAAGUUUCGGCGUUUGGGGAUGUACUCGCGGCUUAUCAGCUUGUUGGUGGGGUAGUGGCUUACCAAGGCUUUGACGGGUAGCCGGCCUGAGAGGGUUACCGGGCACAAUGGGACUGAGAUACGGCGCAGACUCCUACGGGAGGCAGCAGUGGGGAAUAUUGCACAAUGGGCGGAAGCCUGAGGCAGCAACGCCGCGUGCGGGAUGACGGCCUUCGGGUUGUAAACCGCUUUCGCCUGUGACGAAGAGUGAGUGACGGUAAUGGGUAAAGAAGCAACGGCUAACUACGUG
rnacentral:rRNA from 1 species